CACGGCGGGUGCUAACGUCCGUCGUGAAGAGGGAAACAACCCAGACCGCCAGCUAAGGUCCCAAAGUCAUGGUUAAGUGGGAAACGAUGUGGGAAGGCCCAGACAGCCAGGAUGUUGGCUUAGAAGCAGCCAUCAUUUAAAGAAAGCGUAAUAGCUCACUGGUCGAGUCGGCCUGCGCGGAAGAUGUAACGGGGCUAAACCAUGCACCGAAGCUGCGGCAGCGACGCUUAUGCGUUGUUGGGUAGGGGAGCGUUCUGUAAGCCUGCGAAGGUGUGCUGUGAGGCAUGCUGGAGGUAUCAGAAGUGCGAAUGCUGACAUAAGUAACGAUAAAGCGGGUGAAAAGCCCGCUCGCCGGAAGACCAAGGGUUCCUGUCCAACGUUAAUCGGGG
rnacentral:rRNA from 2 species